rnacentral:rRNA from 1 species
GAGUUUGAUCGUGGCUCAGGAUGAACGCUGGCGGCGUGCCUAAUACAUGCAAGUCGAACGAACAGAUAAGGAGCUUGCUCCUUUGACGUUAGCGGCGGACGGGUGAGUAACACGUGGGUAACCUACCUAUAAGACUGGGAAUAACUCCGGGAAACCGGGGCUAAUGCCGGAUAACAUGUUGAACCGCAUGGUUCUACAGUGAAAGACGGUCUUGCUGUCACUUAUAGAUGGACCCGCGCCGUAUUAGCUAGUUGGUGGGGUAACGGCCUACCAAGGCGACGAUACGUAGCCGACCUGAGAGGGUGAUCGGCCACACUGGAACUGAGACACGGUCCAGACUCCUACGGGGGGCAGCAGUAGGGAAUCUUCCGCAAUGGGCGAAAGCCUGACGGAGCAACGCCGCGUGAGUGAUGAAGGUCUUCGGAUCGUAAAGCUCUGUUGUUAGGGAAGAACAAAUGUGUAAGUAACUGUGCAUAUCUUGACGGUACCUAACCAGAAAGCCACGGCUAACUACGUGCCAGCAGCCGCUGU